rnacentral:rRNA from 1 species
GUCUGAUGGAGCACGCCGCGUGACGAAGAAGGUUUUCGGAUCGUAAAACUCUGUUGUUGAAGAAGAACAUGCGUGAGAGUAACUGUUCAUGUAUUGACGGUAUUCAACCAGAAAGCCACGGCUAACUACGUGCCAGCAGCCGCGGUAAUACGUAGGUGGCAAGCGUUGUCCGGAUUUAUUGGGCGUAAAGAGAACGUAGGUGGUUUAUUAAGUCUGAUGUGAAAGCCCUCGGCUCAACCGAGGAAGUGCAUCGGAAACUGGUAAACUUGAGUGCAGAAGAGGAGAGUGGAACUCCAUGUGUAGCGGUGAAAUC